rnacentral:tRNA from 5 species
GCCAGGAUGGUGAAAUUGGCAGACACGCUAUGUUCAGAACGUAGUCCUCUUUGAGGGUGGGGGUUCAAAUCCCCCUCUUGGCA